GCGCCGCCGCCGCCGCCCUCGGUCGCCUCCUCCCCGUCGCGAUGGACGGGCCCGCCCGUGAACCGCCUGGACGAGCAGGCGGCGAGAGAGCGCGUGAUGCGCCUCGCGACGACGACGACGCAGGGCGCGGGCGCGCUCGAGGCGAUACAGGGGUGCCUGAGCUCCAUGCCGGGCGUCACGAACAAUCGCCUCGCGCUGUUCCGAUACCCGGAGCGUGAAGUGCCCGCUCGACACGGUCGCGCUCAACUUGAUCGAGACGCGCUGGGUCGUCGCGUUCGACGCGCUGGCGAACGCGCCGAGACGACCGGGGGACCCGCCGUUUUGUUUCGGCAUCACGCACCCGGCGCUGACGGUGCGCGCGACACUGGUCCCCAUACGACCCCGUUCGCGUGGUGAACGCCGUUCCUUAAGGACUUUCUCUCCCGACCAACCGACCCGUCGUUCGACCGCGCGUCCGCCAAUCACCCACCAAUCACGUCGCGCCACGUCACCAUCUACAGUAGUACACGUGUUCUUCCAUCCUCGUCGUCUCGACUCACCAAUCCGAUCGCGGCGCGUCGUCGUCGUCCGUAUCCCGCAGCCCGCGAAGACGCCGCCGGGGGAGGACCCGAUACCCCCGAAGGAGGGCGACGUCGGCCUCGUCUGUCGCAUGGUCGACGCGUACCACGACAACAAGGAAGAGAGGCUGUACGUCACGUCUCAGGUUGUGGGGAGGUUUCGAGUCGACCGCGUCGUGACGGACGGGAAUCCGUUUUUCGUCGCGGAGACGAGCCAGGCGCGUUCGUAUUCACACUGGUCCCCAUACGAACUCGUCCGCGUGGUGAACGCCGAUCCUUAAGGACUUUUCCACCCGUCGUCACUCUCCGCCCACACCUCGCUCGCUUUCAAUCCCCGCCCCUAUGACGCCUUUCAACUCCGUCUGACGCCUUUGAACUCCGCAGGUUUUGGACCAAGUCCCGGAAGACGACGAGGGCGCGAAGGCGCUGGCGGAGGAGGAGGCGGACGUGUGGCGCCUCCUGAAACAACUCGAAACGCUCUCCGCGAAGACGAAAGAGGGUGACGGCGCGCAGAUCGACUACGACAUGCGGCGGUGCUCGCCGGAUCCCAAGGAGCGGCCGCCGUGGGACGCGGACCCGCCCGCGCCGGAGCGACGCGCGGAGAUGUUUUCGUGGGCGGUGACGCGGCGACUGGGGUUGGGUGCGUUCUAUACACACGUUUUUCACCCGUCCAUCGGUUUCAACAUUUGAUCGCGUGGGUCCCUUUCAACUGACCGAUGAACUAUUUUUGUACGGAACGACCCUCAGAGCCGCGCGAGCAUCUGGACGCGGUGCGCACGACGCACACGUCCGCGCGCCUCGCGCAGGUGAAGAGCGCGCUGACGGAGGGGGUGAACUACCUCGCCGCGGUGAGCGCGCUGCAGGGCGCGGAGGGGGGCGGGGAGGGCGGGGGGGGCGAAUGAAGAAAUCUUUUCGCCCUCCACAGCAUUUUAUUCCGAAACGAACGCGUGUCCGUACUACGCGAGAUUCGUACUCGCGUGACUGUUUGCUCGUGCGGGCUAGCGGGCGCCGUCGAGCCGUUGACGGCCGUUUUCUCGUUCGUCGUGUCGUCGUUCUCGUUCUCGGUCCCCCCCACCGCGCGCGUCGCAUUCCCGCGCCGCGCCGCGACCGCCGCUCGCACCUCGGCGUUCCCCGCGCAUCGCGCAUCGCACCGCGCCGCGAAGACCACCGCGCGCGCCGCGCCGCAUCGCAUCGCGUCGCAUCGCGUCGCGUCCGUCGCGUCCGUCGCGUCCGUCGCGUCCGUCGCGUCGCGCGAAGAGAGCAUCAUGUUCGUGGAAGAGGUGUGCAUCGACGGGUUCAAGUCGUACGCGCAGCGGACUGUCGUCCCCGCGUUCGACCCUCUGUUCAACGCCAUCACCGGUCUGAACGGCUCGGGGAAGAGCAACAUCCUGGACUCGAUAUGCUUCGUGCUCGGCAUCACGAACCUGACGCAGGUGCGCGUCGUCGUCGUCGUCGUCGUCGUCUGUUUUCCCUCCGCUGCGCUGUUCCCCCCCGAAUGAAUGAAUGAACGAGUCUCCGAGAUCCGCGGCCGACGCGCGCGCGGCGUCGGAGGGCGCCGCACCGCGCGCGCGCGACGCGGGGGGUCCCGCGUGGACGUCCUCAGAGGAGAUAGACGACGACGCGUCGCGCGCGCGGAGAAGGGGGGGAGGGGUCCCGCGCCGCCGGCGUCGCGCGUUGGAUCCCGCGCGCCCCCCGCGCGAACGACGCGACGACAGACGCGAAACCGAACCGAAAACCGAAAACUGACGAACGCCGACGCGCCCGCCGUCCUACCCCAUCCUCCAGGUUCGAUGCUCGUCGCUGCAAGAGCUCGUGUACAAGCAAGGCCAAGCCGGCGUCACGAAAGCGUCCGUGUCCAUCACGUUUAACAACUCGGACCGCUCGCGUUCCCCCGUCGGAUACGAGCACUGCGACCAGGCGCGUUCGCAUUCGUACUAGUCCCCAUACGACCCCGUUCGCGUGGUGCACGCCGAUCCUUAAGGACUUCACUUCCCGGCGCAUCUCUCCGCCCACCCCCCGCUUUCAAUCCCCGCCCUCGGCGCCUUUCAACGCCGACUGACGCCUUCCAACUCCACCCACCCUCGACCCUCGUCGAUCAUUCAGAUCGUCGUCACGCGGCAGAUCGUCAUCGGCGGGCGGAACAAGUACCUCAUCAACGGGCACGUCGCGCAGCCGACGAGGGUUCAGAACUUGUUUCACUCCGUGCAGCUCAACGUGAACAACCCGCACUUUCUCAUCAUGCAAGGGCGGAUCACGAAGGUGUUGAACAUGAAGCCGCCGGAGAUUCUCGGCAUGCUCGAAGAAGCCGCGGGGUGCGUCCUCCAAUCACAUCACGCCAUGUCAUCAGUAUGUAUUCGUCCACGUCACCGCGUCUAACCAAUCAACUCACGUCCAUACAUCGCCACGUCAUCAAUCAAUACCUCCAUCCAAUCCAAUCCAAUCAGGACGCGCAUGUACGAGAGCAAGAAGGAGGCGGCGCUCAAGACGCUCGAUAAGAAGCAGACCAAGGUGGACGAGAUCGACAAGCUCCUGGAGGAAGAGAUCUUGCCGACGAUCGAGAAGCUUCGCAAAGAGCGCGGCGAUUACAUGAAAUGGGCGUCCGGGAACGACGCGCUGGAGCGCCUCCGCAGGUUUUGCGUCGCGUACGAGGUGCGUUCUAUCUUACACUGGUCCCCAUACGACCGCGUCGGCGGGGUGAACGCCGAUCCUUAAGGACUUCUCUUCCCGGCGGCGCAUCUCUCCGCCCAGGGUCCCUCGCUUUCAAUCCCCGCCCUCGAUGCCUUUCAACUCCACCCCUGACGCCUUACAAUUCCACCCAAAACCUUCGAAUUCAGUACGCCAACGCGAGGGCGGCGCUCGAGGAGGACGCCGUCGGCGAGUUGAAGACGAAGAUCGACGACCUCGAUGCCAGGGCGAUCGACCGCGCGGAUCAGAGCGACGCGAUCGACGCGGAGAUGAAACGUCUGAGCGACGAGCGAAAGGCGCACGAGAGCGGCGACGCGAAGGCGUUAACGGACGUCGUCGAGGCGUUAUCGAAAACGCUCGUGAAGGACCAAGCCGCGGCGAGCCACAAGAAGGACGCGGUGAAGGCGGAAAAGAAGCAGGCGCGUUCUCCUCACACUGGUUCCCAUACGGCCGCGUUGGCGUGGUGAACGCCGUUUCUUAAGGACUUUUGCCAUCGUCUCUCUCCGCCCAGGGUCCCUCGCUUUCAAUCCCGACACACCUCGACGCCUUUCAACUUCAACUGACGCCUUUGAACUCCACCCCGACUUCGCUUUGUAGGUUGAAAAACUCGUCAAGCAAGCGAAGCAGCACGAGGAGCAGGUCGCGAAGGACGAGGAGCGGCUCUCGAAGAUGCGCGACAGCAGCGACGCGGCGGCCGACGCGCUCGCCGCCGCGGAGAAGGCGGUUGAAGUCGCGGAGGUGACACUUCAAGGCGUCACCAGCGGCAGCGGCGCCGGCGGCGACGGCAACAAAUCGCUUCAGACGCAGCUCGGCGACGCGACUUCCGCGAUCGCUUCCGCGGACGCGGACGCCAAGGCGGCCGCGCUCAAGGCGAAGCACGCGGAGAAGGAGCUCAGCGCGAAGAAGAAGCAGCGCGCGGCGAAGGAGAAGGAGGGAGACAAGCUCUCGAAGGACCUGUCCGCGGCGACGGCGAAGCGCGACGCCGCGGUGGACGCGUAUGAGAACGCGAGCGGCGGGUGCACGCCCGAUCGACUCGCCGAGCUCGAGGCGUCCAGGGACUUCGCGGAGCGAAACGUGCGAGCCGCGCAGGAGAAGGUGGACGUCCUCUGCGGGCAGCUCGCGGGUCUGGACUUUAAGUUUAAAGACCCGGAGGCGAAGUUUGACCGAGGGCGGGUGAAAGGUGUGGUCGCCGCGCUCAUGAAGGUGAAGGAUCCCGCGAUGUCCACCGCGCUCGAGGUUGUCGCCGCCGGGAAGCUGUACCAGGUGGUCGUCGACACGGAAGUCACGGGCAAGGCGCUCCUGUCGAGAGGCCAGCUCCAGAAGCGCGUGACGAUCAUACCCCUGAAUAAGGUGCGUUCUAUACACUGGUCCCCAUACGACCCCGUCCGCGUGGUGAACGCCGAUCCUUAAGGACUUUUGCCGUCGUCUCUCUCCGCCCACCCCUCGCUUUCAAUCCCCGUUCUCGACGCCUUUCAACGCCAACUGACGCCUUUCAACUCCACCCCGACAUCGCUUUGUAUGGUAUGGCCCUAAGAUCGACGCGCGGAUUGCGUCGGAGGGGCAAAUCGCCGCCGCGACCGAGGCGUCCGACGGCGACGCGAGGCUCGCGCUGUCGCUCGUGACGUGCGACGCGGAGGUGCAAAACGUCAUGAACUACGUCUUCGGGAGGGCGUUCGUGUGCAAGGACGCGUCCACGGCGAGGGCGGUGGCGUUCGAUAAGAACGUGUUGACCAACUGCGUCACCGUGGAGGGCGACCUGUUGAACCCGAGCGGGUUGCUCACCGGCGGGUCGAGGAACAACUCGCACAGCGUCCUCGCGAAGCUUCACGCGCUGCACGAGGCGGAGAAGGCUCUCGGCGAGCUGAAAAUCGUCGCGAGAGAAGCGUCCGACGCCGCGAAGACGGCGGCGAGAGAGGCGAAAGCGAGCGAAGGCUUGGAAGCCGCCGUCGACGCCGCCGAGCACGCGCUCGGGUUGGUCAAGGCGAAGAUCGAAGGGAGCGAAUCGCACGCGCUCGCCUCCGCGGUGGAAGCGCUCGAGAAGGACCUGAUGGACGCGAAAGCCGCGGGCGAAGCCGCGAAAGAUGCGAAAGCCGCCGCGACCGAUCGCGCGUCCGCGCUCGAGAAGGAGAUCGCGUCGUUCGCGAAGGAGCGCGACGCGCGGUUAAAGGAGGCGGAGAAGGCGCUGAAGCUGGCGCGCGCCGACGUCGCGGCCAAACGCGACGAGAUUAAAACCGUCGAAACCGUGAUGCGAGACGCCAAGGUUGAGCGCGAGUCCGCGGCGGCGGAGCGCGUCGCGAUCGCGGAGAACGUCGCCGCCGCGGAGACCGCGGUGGCGGAACUCGAGGGCGAGCUCGCGGCGCUCGAGGCGGUCGUCGCGUCGCGCGCGAAGGAGCACGACGACGCGACGAAGGAGCUCGCGAAGUGCCGCGCGAAGAUGGCCGCGUGCGAUGAAGAGGCGGCGGCGCUCCGAAAGAAGCAGACGCGCAUCGAGCGCGCGGCGGACGCCGACGCCGUGGAGCGCAAAAAGCUUGAACACAAAAUCGCGCGCGUCGAAAAAGAAGCCGCGGAGGGCAAGGCGCGCUGCGCGAAACUCGAGGAGGAGCACCCGUGGAUCGCCUCCGAAGCGUCGCGGUUCGGCGUGCGCGGCGGCGAGUACGACUGGGCGUCCCGCGACCCGGACGCCGCGGCUGCCGAGCUCGCGGACGCGGAGGCGGCGCAGGCGACCCUGGCCAAGCGCAUCAACAAAAAGGUGAUCGCGAUGUUCGACAAAGCAGAAGGCGAGUUUAAAGCGUUGCAAGAGAAGCGACGCAUCGUCCUCGACGACCGGAAGAAGAUCCAGGACGUCAUCGGCGAGCUGGACGAGAAGAAGAAGGAGGCGCUGUCCGUGACGUGGAACAAAGUCAACGCGGAUUUCGGCUCCAUCUUCUCCACGCUUCUCCCCGGCACGAGCGCCAAGCUGGAGCCUCCCGAGGCGCGUUCUAGUAUCACACUGGUUCCCAUACGACCCCGUCGGCGUGGUGAACGCCGAUCCUUAAGGACUUCUAAUCCAGGCGUCUCUCUCCACCCAUCACCCCUCGCUUUCAAUCCCGACACACCUCGACGCCUUUCAACUUCAACUGACGCCUUUCAACUCCAGGGUGAGUCGUUCCUCGCCGGGCUCGAGGUGCGAGUCGCGUUCGGGGGCGUGUGGAAAGAGUCGCUCACCGAGCUGAGCGGCGGGCAGCGGUCGCUGCUCGCGCUGUCGCUCAUCCUCGCGCUUCUGCUGUUCAAGCCCGCGCCGAUUUACAUUCUCGACGAGGUGGACGCCGCGUUGGACUUGUCGCACACGCAAAACAUCGGCCGCAUGAUCGCGCAGUACUUUCCGUACUCGCAGUUCAUCGUCGUGUCGUUGAAGGAGGGGAUGUUUAACAACGCCAACUGCAUCUUCAGGACGAAGUUCGUCGACGGCGUGUCCACGGUGACGAGGACGGUGCCGGCGCUGAAGGAUAAGGCGGCGCUGAACAAAGCCGCCGGGGAUGGCGGCGGGUUUGGCGUCAGCGACGCCGCGCAGAAGCGAAGAGCGGCGGGGGCGAAGGGGAAGGGGAAGGAAAACUAAACGCUACGUACGCGGGGGGUUGGUCGCGGGCGACGCCGACGGGGAACUGUUUGUCGACGGGGCGCGGGGAUUUAACUAACGAACUCACGGGUGAUGAUGAUGAUGAUGAUGAUGAUGAUGAUGAUGUAAAGAAUGCGAUCGGUAUGACCAAUUAAACGACGUCCCCGCCGCGAUGUUCGCGGCGCGGCUGUUUCUUUCUGUUCGACCCUCGAAAACUACAACGCGCCCUGCCGCUGCGUGCAUUUUUUACGUCAAAAAGUCUCUCCGCCUCCAACGAACACGCCGCGCGUCAGGUCGUCGUCUCAGAUCCGCCCGCGCGGCGCCGCGAAGAGGGACCAAAUGAUGGCGUCGUCGUCGCCCUCCGGGUCCCCCCCCCCCCCCCCCGCGACGCAUCAGCUGAUCACCGCGUCCGGCGACCUCCUCGAGCCGCCGCUCCACGCGUACCUCUCCUCGCUCCCGAACGGCGAGGACUACCUCCGAUGGAACGACGCGUACCAGGUGGUCGCCAUCAUGGGCCCGCAGAGCAGCGGCAAGAGCACGCUGCUGAACCACGUCUUCGGCGUGCGAUUCGACGAGAUGAACGCGGACUUGGGGAGGUCGCAGACGACGAAGGGCGUGUGGCUGUCGCGCGCGGCGAGCGGCGGCGACGACGCGGCGGUCCCGACGCUCGUCAUGGACCUCGAGGGGACCGACGGACGAGAGCGCGGCGAGGACGACACCGCGUUCGAGAAGCAGACCGCGCUGUUCGCGAUGGCCGCCGCGGACGUGCUCCUGGUGAACAUGUGGUGCAACGACAUCGGGAGAGAAGUCGCGAGCGGGAAGCCGCUCCUGAAGACGAUCUUCCAGGUCAACCUCAAGGUGUUCAACCCGAAGAAAACCACGCUACUUUUCGUCAUCCGCGACAAAUCCAGGACGCCGCUGGAGAUGCUCGAGGCUAACCUGCGGGAAGACUUGGGUGCGUUCGUAUUCACACUGGUCCCCAUACGACCGCGUCGGCGUUGUGAACUUCAUUCCUUAAGGACUUUCUCUCCCGGCGGGCGUUUCUCUCCGCCCACCCAUCGCUUUCAAUCCGCGACGCCUUUCAACUCCGCUUCUGACGCCUUUCAACUCCACCCCGAAAUAUCGCUUCGAAUAAUGGAACCACCCUCAUCGACCCUCAUCAGAUCGCAUCUGGACCGCGAUGAAGAAGCCGGAAAAGCACGCCGACGCCGCCUUCGACGCCUUCUUCACGCUCAAGUUCGUCGCGCUGUCGCACUACGAGCACGCUCACGAGAAAUUCGUGGAGGACGCCGAGGUGCGUUCUACACACUGGUCCCCAUACGACCGCGAUCGCGUGGUGAACGCCGAUCCUUAAGGACUUUUGCCGGCGCAUCUCCCCGCCCACGCCAUGGUUUCAAUCCCCGACCACGACGCCUUUCAACUCCUACUGACGCCUUUCAACUCCACCCCGACAUUCGCUCGUAUGGAACGACCCUGAGGCGCUCCGCGAGCGCUUCUCGCUGCCGCCGUCGGACCCGCGAUCGCUGCGGCCGAGCGGCGACGACGGCAGAGCGGCGGUGCCCGCGGCGGGCUUGGUCGUGUCGUGGAGAGAGGCGUGGCGCGCGGUGAAAGAGAACCGCGAUCUCGACCUCCCCGCGCACAACGUCAUGGUCGCGACGGUGCGAUGCGAGGAGAUCGCGCGCGAGCGGCUGGCGUGCGUGGCGUCCGACCGCGAGAUCGCGCACCUGAGCGCCGCCGUCGCGUCCGGGCCGGGGUGCGUUCAUAUUUACACUGGUCCCCAUACGACCGCGUUGGCGUGAUGAACGCCGAUCCUUAAGGGCGUUUCUCUCCGACCACCCCCCGCUUUCAAUCCCCGACCCUAUGACGCCUUUCAACUCCGCUUCUGACGCCUUUGAACUCCACCCCAGACCGAGAGGCAUCGCCGAGACGUUGACCGGGUUGACGCGUUCGGCGCUCGAAAAGUACGACGAGGACGCGGGGUACUUCGACGCGACGGUUCGCAACGCGAAACGUCGCGAGCUGGCCUCGCGGCUCGUCCUCGCGCUGCGGAAGAUCGUCGCGAAGCACCUGACGCACGUCAAGGAGGCGGUCGCGAGGGACGCGAAAGACGCGAUUCGCGCGAGGAGGUGAGACUGCUUCCCAUACGACCCCGUUCGCGUGGUGCACGCCGUUCCUUAAGGACUUUUCCCGUCGUCACUCUUCACCCGCGCUUCCCUUUCAACGUACGUUUGACCGGUAAGACGUUCGACUGACCGAUCGCUUCACCCACGAAGGACUCGAGCGGAGGACUCGAGAACGACUUCGGGGUUCGCCGCUCUCGCCGCCGCGGCGUCGGCGGAGGCGCGCGCGAAGUGGCGCGACGCGAUCGCGGACGCGGUCCCGAACGACGGCGACGACGGCGACGACGAAAGCGGCGGCGCGAAGACGGCUUCGGGUGCUGCCGUGGAUGCCGACGUGGACGAAUCAGACGCGGACGCCGCCGCCGCCGCAGCGACGUGGUCCCGCGUCGCCGCCGUCGCCACCGCCGAGCUCGAGCGCGAGCUCGCGGCGAUCGUCUCCGCGGAGCGUAAAACCCGCGUCGACGAGGACGUGCGCGCGAUCGAGCGCGUCAUGGAGCGCCACGUGGCUGCUGACGUGUCGAGCCUCCUCGACGACGCCCCCGCGGACGCGUGGGCGAAGCUCGAAAAGAUUUUACUCGCGGCGGCGAAAAAAUACGUCGGCGUCGUCUCGAGGUGCGUUCUAUACACUGGUCCCCAUACAACCGCGUUCGCGUGGUGAACGCCGAUCCUUAAGGACUUUGCCCGGCGCAUCUCUCCGCCCAGGGUCCCUCGCUUUUAAACCCCGCCCUCGGCGCCUUUCAACUUCAACUGACGCCUUUGAACUCCACCCCGACGUGUAUAGAACGCUCGCCGGUUUCGAACUCGACGCGACCGAGCUCGCCGCGCUGACGACCGCGAUGGCGAAGCGCGUGCACGAGACCGUGGACGCGCGCGUGAGAGACGCCGCGAGCCCGACGUGCGUCGUGGAGUCGAUGAAGACGGCGUUCUCGCGCGUCUUUUCGAAGGACACGAAGGCGCGCGCGAGCUACGCCCUAAACGCAUUUCUUUCUUUCAUCACCCGUUCAUCAUCGUUCGGUUUCGUUCGAUCAACACUUCUUCAUCGCGUGCGUCUCCUUUCUUUCAACUGACCGAUGAUCGAACAUUCAUUCAUUGCACGGAACGAUCCGCGUCAUCAAUCAGGGUUUGCCCAAGACGUGGCGCGCGAACGACGACGUCGCGGCGGCGAACGCGCGCGCGCGACGCGAGGCGGUCAGGGUGCUCGGGCUCCUCGCCGUGUGCCGGCUGCCAGCCUGGCGUGGGGACGUGGCGGCCGGCCACGUGGCGGCGGUGUCGGACAUGUCGGACAUGUCGGACAUCGGCGCGAGCCCGACGCGGCGCGGGGGCGACCCGGCGGCGUGGUUCGCGCCGCGAGCGGAGGCGCUGGACGCCGCGUCGCAAGACGUCGUCGACGCGGCGCUCAGCGGGUUCGCGGCGACGGCGGGUUCCGACGUCGUGGACGAAUCAGGAGGCGAGAAAGCGAAUCUCGUGACGAAUGACGUGGCGGCAUCUGAUUCGCGCGCGGGCGCGACUGACGACGACGACGACGACGGCUUCCCCGGCGAGUGGCCGGGCGCGAAGGACGAAGAUGUGAUGCUCUCCCCGGCGCAGUGUAAGCGCGCGUGGAAAAAAUUCGAGAGCGAGAUCGCGUACGCGGUGUCCCAAGCCCUCAACGCGGUCGAGGCCGCCGCGCGCGGUGGGUCGCCGUCGGCGCCGGCGUGGAUGAUCGCGCUGUUGAUCGUCUGCGGCUUCGACGAGAUGAUGUGGCUUUUGCGGCAUCCGUUUUCGGCGACGCUGUUGCUCGCGGUUUUUUUGUUCGGACGCGCGCUGUACAACAACCUGGACGUGGAGGUGCGUUCUAGUAUCACACUGGUCCCCAUACGACCGCGUUCGCGAGGUGAACGCCGUUCCUUAAGGACUUUACUUCCCGGCGGGCGUUUCUCUCCGCCCAGGGUCCCUCGCUUUCAAUCCCGACACACCUCGAUGCCUUUCAACUCCGCUUCUGACGCCUUUGAACUCCGCCCCGACGAUGCUUUGAACGAUGGAACGAUAGGCCGCGAUGAAGAUGGGCGUGAUCCCGGGGCUCGUGUUUCUCAGCACGAAGAUCAUCCCCACCGCGAUCGUCGUGUUGAAGCGGUUGAUGGACGAAGGGAACAACGCACCGAUCGCCGUCGCGGACGCCGCGGGCAAGGCGAAGGUGGAGACCGAUCCGGGGGGGGGCGGAUCCCCGGGGGAGCGACCCGAGGUGCGUUCUAUACACUGGUUCCCAUACGACCGCGUUGGCGAGGUGGACGCCGAUCCUUAAGGACUUUUCCUGGCGCAUCUCUCGGCCCUACCCCCGCUUUCAAUCCCCACCCUCGGCGCCUUUCAACUCCAACUGACGCCUUUCAACUCCACCCCGACAUUCGCUCAGAGCCGCGUCGGACGCGUGCACGUCUCCGGCGACGGCGCGCGUCGCAGGGUCGCCGUCGCGGAGGAGUCCCAAUACGCUCAGCUCGUGAGCUAAAGCAUCGGAGGAGGGAUGCGAGGAGAAGAGAGCGAGAGCGAGAGCAGAGCGCGCGGCGGCGAGGCGAGGCGAGGAACGAUCGAUCGAACGACGGAACAUUGCAAUUGCAUCUUUUUUCCUUCGAGGCUUCGCUUCACUUAGCCGCCAUCCUUCGUUCGCCUACGCGUCAUCCUCCGGCCCGCCCACGACGACGCUCUUCAGCCACGCGAACGAAUCGUCGCCGAUCAUCCAGAACAGCCCGAACCCCGCGGCGGCGCCCCACCCCGCGAGCGUCGUCACCGUCGACACCGGCGGGAUCAUCUUCACCGGAAUCUGCUUGUACAUGGCCUUGGGAACGAACAUCUCCGCGAUCUCGCGCAUGACGACUGGACUGGACGCGCGCUGCGAGCGCGUGCGUGCCUCGAGCGGUGGUGCCUUUCGUUCGUUUCUGCGAGCGCGGCGCGCGCGAUGAGAGGCGAGACGGGCGAGCGGGGGCGCGAUCGAUCGGUCGGUCAGCGAGGCGCGUUCGUCGAAGGUGGUGGUUUAUUUUUUAGGGUAUCUUAUUUUUCGAGCGGCGCGGCGAGCGGAGCGAACGAUCGCGCGGGGGAGGGGAGAGAUCGCGGCGACGCGACGCGACGCGCGAGCGCGCGCGGCGAGCGCGCGCGGGGAAACGCGCGCGCGGGGAUGGUGGGGGGGAGAGGACGCACCCGUGACGCGUGCGCGGCGACGGCGGGUGUGCGGCGACGGAGGGAGGGAGGAGCGCCGUGCCUCUUCGAGCCCGCCCGCGAUUUUUCCUGUCGCUGCGCGCUUCGCGCCAGCGCCAUCGACGACAGGAGCGCGUCCGAGUCCGGUCCGAGUCAUGCAAUUUUUAUCGCUCCCUCGCUCGCCCUCCCUCCCCGGGUGGGUUCACACGUCGCCGCGCGGAGGGGCCCCACUCGCGGGAGGCGCCCGAAGCGAGCGCGGGGAGGGAGGACGCGCGGAGGCCGCGGCGCGAGCGACGCGCGCGCGCGAGAAGUCGGGUGCGAACCCGCCCGGGCGGAAUCGAGCGAGCGAGCGAGCGCGCAUUAUCACUAUUUUCCCUUCCCGCGCGCCCGCGCGAGUUCAGCGAGCGCGCGUCGAGCUCGGUGAGACGCGCGUCGUUCGUCGAUCCUCGCCGCGGUCGCGCCGCCGACGCGCGGAACAGCACCGCGCGCGUUUCACCGAGCUCGACGCGCGAGCGCGCGGCCGUCGCGCGCGGUCUCGCGCCGUCUCGCGCCGCGCGAGCGCGCGCGCGCGCUCCGCGCGUCGUCGCCGAGGGAAUAAACGAAUUACCUGUAUUCACGCGCUCCCCCCCAUCCACCCCCCCCCGUCCGUCCGUCGCGACAGCUGUCAUGGCGUAUCGCCCCGGCGACCAGGUCUGGGCGAAAGUCGAGGGCUACCGAUGGUGGCCCGCGACGGUCCUCGACCCGAAAGAGCACGCGGAGUGGAAGGGCGGCGGAACCAAGGGCGGCUCGAUGAGCGGCGCGGGCGGUGAUUUGAGAGACGAACGCGACGAAAAACGCGUGCUCGUCCGAUUCCAUCACACGAACGAUUUCGGCUCUCUGCGCGACUGCAAGAUACUCGACUUCGAGACGCACAAGAGGGAGAAGUCGCGCGGGGGGAAGAAAGCGAGCGGGUUCGCGCAGGCGGUCGCCGCCGCGGAGGCGGCGUCGACGCGCGCCGGCGGGGGGAGCGCAUUAAACGGCGCCGGCGUCGAAAGCGGCGGGGAGCGACCCGCGGCGGCGCCCACCGCGGCGAAGCGUCGGACGCCCACGAAACCACCACCCUCCAAGCCGCCGCAGCCGCCGCACGCGCACACGUCGUCGGGUAAGACGGCGGCGGAAGAUGAAACGUCGAUCGUCGCUGCUACGCCGGAUGAACGAUUCAAGGGCGUGUUCCGACUCCCGGGCGGCGCGGCGGCGGCGCGUUGGGAAGCCCGCGUCGACGUCUCGGGCGCGACGGUUGACGUUUCACAUUCUGCCUCUACCGCGACCGCGACCGCGAUCGGCGUGUUCCCCACGCCCGAGGAAGCCGCGCAGGCGCACGACGUCGCGCUCGUCGCCGCGCUCGGGGCGUCGAAGUGCGUCGGACGCGUCAACUUUUCGCUCGAGAUGUACGGCGGCGGCGGCGGCGACGGCGGCGGCGGCGGCGGCGGCGGCGGCGGCGGCGGCGUGUCGUCGGCGCGCGGCGCGGGUCCCGGUCGCCGAGCCGCCGCGGCGAGAGGCGAGGCGAGCCGGAGGGAGGUUGGGAAGAACGGGUUCGCGGUGAUCGAAGGCGCGCUCGGCGCGGGCGUCGGCGGCGGCGGCUUGAAACGCGAGGAAGACGAUUCUGACGACGACGACGACGAUUCUGACGACGACGACGACGCGGUCGCGCGCUCGAGCUCGAGCGACGACGAAGAGAGCGAAGAAGAAGAGGGGGAGAACGACGAAGCGCAAACGCGCGAGGACGCGCUCGCGGCGUUCGCCGCGCGCAGGCUCGGCGGUUUCGGCGCCAAGUCGCGCGCGUUCUGGUGCGUUCGUAUUUACACUGGUCCCCAUACGACCGCGUCGGCGUGGUGAACGCCGAUCCUUAAGGACUUUCUCUCCCGGCGCAUCUCUCCGCCCAGGGUCCCUCGCGUUCAAUCCCGAUACACCGCUUCUGACGCCUUUCAACUCCGCUUCUGACGCCUUUCAACUCCAUCCCGACGUUCAGCCCGGACGCCGUCGGCGGAAGCGACGAGCUCCGCGGCGUGGACUUCUCGCACGCGAUGGAGGCGUACUUGGGGGUGAACGACCCCGCGAAGGCGCACGUCGUCGCGGGGCUCGGGCUCCACCUCACGGAUGUGGAGGUUUUGAGAGGGAAGGACGCGCGGGAGGCGGCGGCGGCGUUUGAGGCGGCGGCCAGGCGCGGCGGCGGAUCAGGCGGCGACUCGAGGGCCCCGCGGCGGGACGCGUUCGCGGCCGCGAAGGAGGGCAUCGAAGGCGGCGGCCGAGGCGGGGGCGCGUCUGCUGCGUCCGCGAGCGCGAGCGCGAGACGACACACUGUCGUAGGACAGCACGCCGCGGCCGCGGCGGCGCACGCGUCCAAAGCCCGCGCCGCCGCGGCUGAGGCGGCUGCGCUCGUCGACGCGGUCGCCGCGUCCGGUACCGUCGGAAAAACUGUCGGAUGUCCGAACACGAAGGCGUGCCACCAGUGUCAGCAUCAGCACGUCCCGAGGUCGUGCCGAGCGCGGAGAGCGGGUCCCGGGAGCCACGCGGCGGGUAAGGGCGGCGGAUCAGGCGGCGCAGCGCAGUGCGGUUUGUCGUACUGCGACGGGUGCGUCCGAAAAUUUUAUCGCGACGGCGACGGCGGGCUCACGCGCGACGACGUCGAGCGCAUUUGCCCCAAGUGCCGCGGCGUGUGCAACUGCCGAGCGUGUCUGCGCCGGGACCCCGGCCCGCCGCCGACGGUGUCGGACAAACUGUCGGAAAGUACGACACGUCAGCUGUACGAACACUUUCUCCGACGCGCCGCCGCGCCGAUGCUCGCGUCGGACGCCGCGGAGCGAAAGGAGAUCGACGCGGAGAUCGAGUGCGGCGUAAAUAACGGCGCCGUCGCCCCCGGGUACUACGGAUACUCGGACGCGUCGCACGCGAGCGGGUGGCGCCUGUUCUGCGACGCGUGCGGGAGCGCGGUCGCGAACCUGCACCGGAGCUGCUGGGCGUGCGAGGUGGACGUGUGCGGCGACUGCUGCGCGGAUUUAAGACGCGGAAACACCGUGGGAAAACCCGCGGCGACGCUCGCGAGCGCGCUCAUCAUGGGGGGCAGCGGUGGUGUCGGCGGCGGCGGCGGCGGGAAGAGGAAAGCGCAUCAGCCGCCGCCGCCGCCGCCGCAGCCGACGUCGUCCGGCGGCGGCGGGGAUCGAACAGGCGGCGAAGGGUGGUUCAACGCGUCGCACACGGAGGCGGAGCUCAGCGCGAUGCCGCUGAAGAAGCGUCUGAAGCUGCGGGCGAUGAAGGCGGCGAAGGAGGUGCGUUCUAUACACUGGUCCCCAUACGACCCCGUUCGCGUGGUGAACGCCGAUCCUUAAGGACUUUUUCCGUCGUCACUCUUCACCCGCGCUUCCCUUUCAACGUUUGACCGGUAAGACGUUCGACUGACCGAUCGCUUCACCCACACAGUACGAAACCCUCGCGGACGCGGCGACGAAGGCGGAGGAGGAGGAAGGGGCCGUGUCGAGGAAGAUGUCGUCGGGGACGGAGGACGUCGAGUCUCGCGGUUUCGAGUCGACGGCGGUUUCGGUUUCGGUUUCGACGGCGGUUCAACCGGUUUCAACCGCCGCGGCUUCCGGGGUCAAGCCAGAACCCCCGGUUUCAACCGCGGGCGCGCCCCUGAAACCGCUCCCGCUCGUCGUCCACGCCACCGCGGACGAGACGGACCCGAGCGCGGAGCCGAUUUUGUGCCUGAAGUGCACGCGGCCGCUGGAGCUGCGCGCGUGCAUCGAACGCGCGUGGCUCCGCGGGAUUUACGACUCGCCGCACGUGGCGAAACACGCGAAGCGCGACGCGUCGGCGGCGGUCGCGGUGGAAUCUUUUGAUUCGAAAUCAUCUGAUUCGGAUGAUUCGGAUUCGUGUCCGUGUCCGUGGUGCGCGAAACUGAGCGACGAGGACGCGCCGGUGAUGUCGACGCGCACGUCGGGCGAGGGCGGCGGCGCGGUGGACGCGCGCGUGUGGCGUCCGCGAGCGGCGGAUCUCGCGCGCGCGCUAUCGUCGUCGUCAGACGACGCGCGCGGGGUCGGGGCGCACGAAUCACGCGAUGACACGUCAGCAUCAUGUUUGACGACGAAUUCGGACAAUCUCCGACACUUCCAGUGGCACUGGUCCAGAGGCCACCCGGUGAUCGUGACGGAGGUGGAUCUCGGCGGGAUGUCCUGGUCCCCCGCCGUCAUGGAGCGCGCGUACGCCAACCACGGCCAGGCGCGUUCUAUACACUGGUCCCCAUACGACCGCGUUGGCGUGGUGAAUGCCGAUCCUUAAGGACUUUUCCCGGCGUCUCUCUCCGCCCACACCUCGGUUUUAAUCCCCGCCCUCGACGCCUUUCAACUUCGACUGACGCCUUUGAACUCCACCCCGACAUUCGCUUGUAUAGAACGGCCCUCAGACUACUUCACGCGACGCGUACGGCGGCCAGGGCGCGGGUGCGAACAACAGUAACGCGUCAGGAUACGGCGGCGUUGCCGUCACCGCGGGCGGGCGUUCCACCGUCUCCGACCGCAUGGUCCCCGUCAUGAACUGCGCGCCGAGCGGGAACGUCUCUAAAGAACGCGAGGAGGCGAUGACGACGCACGAUUUCUUCAAAGGCUUCGUCGACGCCGCCGCGUUCGACGGCGCGCUGUAUCGACUGAAGGACGUCGACGCGUCCGCCGCCUCUCAAAUGAGCUCAAAUGACGCCUCGGCACGCGUGGACCGACUCCCGCGGCAUCACCGAAGGUUAAUUUCGCGCGGUUUGCCGUUUCAAGAGUACACCAACCCCGAGGAUGGUCCGAUGAACGCGACGACGCAUCUGCCGCGAAGAACCGUCGGCGGCGCCGCGCUCAAAGUCUCCGUCGACGCGGCGUCCCGCCCGAGGCACCACGUCGCCUACGGCCGCGUGGAAGAAAACGGCCUGGGCGACUGCGUUACCAGGCUCACGGCCGGGUCAGGCGCGGACGUCGUCGACGUCAUGACGUACGCGUGCGACGCGACGACGAAGAGCCGCGUCGGUCAGGGCGCGGAGUGGCACGUGUUUCGCAGACGAGACGCGGCGGCGGUGGAGUCGUUUCUUAAAAGGCGGCGGAAGCAUCUGACGCAUCGCCCGAAGGACGGCGCGAAGGUGCACCACCCGCUGCACGACGGCGUGUUCUUCCUCACCGCGAACGAUCUGGAGAUUCUGCGCGCGGAGAGCAAGGGCGCGAUCGCGCCGUGGACGUUCACGCAGCGCGAGCGCGACGCCGCGUUGAUUCCCGCGGGGUGCCCGCGGCAGAUUCGGAAUUUGUCGUCGACGCUGAGGGUCGCGAUCGAAUUCGCGUCGCCGGAGAGCGCCGCCGCGGCGCUGCGGGCGAGCGACGAGCGGCGCGCGCUGCCGGAGAAUCACGUCGCGCGGAGGAGCGAAGAGAAGACGCACCCGAUGGUCGCGCUGCUGCACGCCGCGAACGACGCGGUGCGGUAUCUCGACCGGGCGGCGGCGGAGUGAUCGAUGACCUAUGGUCAUCAUGGAGAUCGUAAGUUGUCGUGUGACUGGGAUUUAUUAUUUUGGAAUAAAAUCAACUCGGUUCCUCGCGACGUCGACGUCAUCGGACCCUUCUUUCUACCCCCCCUUCCUUCCUUCCUUCCUUCCUUCACGCGUUGAAGAUGUACAGCGAGUUCGACGCCGCGCACGCGAGGACGUCCUCCCGCGGGUGCCACGCCAUGUGCAGCGUCUUGGUCGGGAAGUCUGCCGACCCCGGUCCGACACCCGCGCCCGCGCCCGCCGCCGCCGCCGCCGCCGCCGCCGCCGCCUUCUUCCCGUCGGCGCCGCCCUCCGCCGCCAUGCCCUGCUGCCGCAACCGCCGCAACCGCUGCGGAUUCUUCGUCACCUCGAGCGUGUCCGUCCCGCCGCUGUGCGAAUCAAACGUCCGGAACUGGUUCCCGUACGACCCCGUCGCGAGCCUCGAGCCGUCGCGCGAGAGGCAGCACUGAAACUUAUCGAAGAUCGCGUCGCUCUCGUACAGGUCGCAGAGCUUCGACCGCAGAUGCUCGUGCACCUUGAACGUCGCCACCGGCUCGCGCUCCAUGUUGAUGUCCCACAGUUUCAGCGUGAGGUAAUCUCGCGCGAGAAGGUAUCGACCGUCGCGCGAAAAUUUAACGUCCGAGAUGCUCGCGAUGAUCUCUGACGGUGGGGAAGUUCGUGAAAAAGUUCGUUCAUCGGUCAGUCGAAAGCGACCAACGCACGCGCGCGAUCAAAGGUUGGUUGGUUGAAACUGAAACUGAAUCUACGACGCGGGUCGGGUGAAAAUCAAAACGUCCGAAAUAGUAAUAAACACAAACAAACGCACCCGAGAAGAAGCUCCGCGCCCCCGGCGGCUCCGCCUCGUCGAAGAGCUUACAGUGCGCGUUACACAGCGCGUUGGACCGCAUAUCCGCGAGCCGAAUCGACCCUUUACUGCUUGAGUACGCGAACAAGUUACACGACCCGGGGUGGAACUCCGCGGCGGUGAUCACCUCCGUGAGGUCCUCCAUGUUCCCCGGCUUGAUGUCCACGAUGUUGAAGCUCGCGUCGUGGCGGUCCAGGUGCCACAGGUUGACGCGCAAGUCAUCCGCGCUGCGAUCGGUGGGCGACGCGGCGGGGAGUGAUGUGAUUGGUCAGUGGCAGUGGUUGGUUUGAUGACGUGGACGUCCGUUCGUUUCGGGAGUAUUCGUAUUCGCGCGUUUGUACGGUGAGCAGUCAGCCAGCGGUUCUUCCGUCAAAAGAAAAGCGCGCGAUGGAUUAUGUCGCACCUGAUGUACGUCUCGCAGUCGCUGUUGACGGAGAGAGAGUUUAUGUGAUACGCGUGCGCGUUACUGUACAGCCGCCUGCACCGCGCGCUGAAGACGACGUCCGCGGCGCGAACGCUCGGGAUUUUCAGCGGGCCCGCGAAGGACGGGCGGUUGGGACCCUUGGGGUUGGGGCUCGUCGUCGUCGCGCCCGCGUCGUGACACUUCUCCGGCGUGAUGGGAGCCGCCGGCGAGGCUCUGUUCGAGCCGCCGCCGCCACCCUUGCCCGGUCCGAAAACGCUCAUAUCCCGGCCGUUAUCCCGCGUGUGCGCGUCCAAGUUAUAAUCCGCGACGCACUGCAUCUGUUUCUCGAACACUUUCCACAGCUUGAUCGUCUUAUCGUUCGUGCUGAUCAGGAACCUCGACGCGUUCGCGCCCUGACGGUCGAGGGUCCAUCGUUCAAAGCGACGCGCGUCGGGGUGGAGUUCAAAGGCGUCAGAAGCGGAGUUGAAAGGCGCCGAGGGCGGGUAUUGAAAGCGAGCUGUGGGCGGAGAGAGACGCCGCCGGGAAAAAAAUUCCUUAAGGAUCGGCGUUCACCACGCGGACGUGGUCGUAUGGGGACCAGUGUGAGAUAGAACGCGCCUGAUGGCACCAUCGCAGCGUGUUGAUCUUUUCCUCGAUCUCGAGCGACUUCAGGUAGUCAAACUCCGGCUCGUGCGACUGGAACUCGGUCAGGUAUCGAUACUCCACCGGCGCGGGCGGCGUCGCGCCGUCGGGGCCCGCGCGCGACCGCAUCGCUUCGACCUGGCACCGGGAGGAGGGAGCGGCGGGGACGGCGGGGAUGGGAUGCGGGCGCGUUGGUUUUAAGAGAAAAGUCACUCACUUCGUCGCGAAUCGAUCCGAUCGCGAUUUCGUCGAUGAAGUCGAUCGACGCGCUCGGGUGAAAACCAAACCGAACCGCGGGUGAAAACCAAACCGAAACCGAACCACCGCGAACGCACCGCAGCCUUCGACGGGUGGAUGCGCUCGAAGAGGACGACGCGCCCACCGCGGUCGCCCGUCGCGAGGUGCUCGCCCGUGCGAUCGAACUCCACGGCGCUGAUCACGUCCGCUGUGUGAGUAUUUAGUGAUGAAGAGGAACGAGGGCCCCCGGGGUGUGGUGAAGACGUCAGGCGGGCGGAAGGGCUCGAUCGGUGGACGGAGGGAGGGCGAGCGGUGGGGACGGACGGAUCGACGGGUCGGGGCGGACGAUCGAGCGCGAGGGUUCGUUCGUUCGCUCGGGGUUCGCGCUCGCGCUCGGCGCGACGUCGCCGCGCGCGAUCGAACGUCGCGGACGCGCGGGGACGAGUCGCUCGCGCGCACCGUCCUGAACCUCCUCCCCCGGCGUCCUCUCCCCGAACACCUGGCUGAAGUUCCAUUCCAGCUCCGCGAUGGGCUCGGGCGCGGCGGACGCCAUGAUGGUCGGCUCCGACGAGGCGCUCGCUCGCGUCUGUCUACUCGGCCGCGACGCCGCCGCCGCCGCCGCGGUCGCCGCCGCCGCCGCCGCGCGAUCGCGCGCCGGCCGCGCGUCCCUCCUCUUCGCGACCCGACGCGCGUUCCUGCGACGCGGGGGAGGAGCGAUGCGCGAGCGGGUGGGAGCGUCGCCGUGGGCGCGGCGCGGCGCUCUGUUGGGCCCCCGCCGCCGACCCCGGGGAAACGCCGACCGCUCCGCGCGGACGACGGCGCUUUCCGUGCGACGCAGUUUCCGACACGCGCGCGACGAGCUCUUGGCGUAUCGUUUGGCAUUCGAUCGGCGACGUCGGCGCGUUCACCCCGAGCGUUGAUCGCGGGUUGCGAUCGGGCGCUUCCUUUCAAAAACCAAACAGGGUUCAGUUCUUCCGUCGUCGGUCGCGUCUGGUUGGCGCGAGCACGCGCACGUGCGAAAAAAAUCUCCUGAUGAUAGAUGAGGCACUCGCACUCGCGAAAUGACAUCAUCACAUCACGACGCACAUCCGUCCGUCGCGCCGCAGCCUCGGACGCCGCCGCCGCCGCCGCCGCCGCCGCCGCCGCGCCCGUCAUGGCGUCCUCCGCGCGAGACACCCUCCUGUUCCCGUUCGUCCUCUCCGCGGUGGUCGCGUUAGUUCUCCUGUACGUCGCGGCGUGCAAGCUGUUCGUCGCGUACUAUCGAGACGACGACUGCCCGCCUUCGAUGGGCGACGCGAAGGAGGACGACGCGCACGAGGCGACGCCGAUAUACGCGCUGACGGGGGUGUGCGUCGUGCAUCCGAACGGGAAGGUCGUGUUCGGCGGCGAGGAGGAGGAGGAGGAGAGGGAGAGGGACGGGAGAGGGCGCGCGAUGGACGACGAGGCGACGACGACGACGACGACGAGUUCGUUGUUCGUUGACGCGGCGGUGUAUGCCGACGAGGAUAUUCCGACGAAGCGCGCGUCGUCGUCGUCGUCGUCGAUCGGGGAGGGCGACGGCGACGGCGCGCGCGUCGAGGAGAAGAGCGAAGAGGACGCGGGAUAGGGAGACCGCUCGCGUCGCGACGCGGACGCGGACGACGCGACGCGCGGGGACGCCGCGGGGUAGCCGCCGCGCGCGUCCGAACGUCGUCUCAUCGGUCGACGUGUACUAAAGUGUAUCUACACGAAUCUGGCGCUGAUGAGCCAGAUCAGAUGCUGAUGACUUCUUUGCCGCGCGUUUCUUUUUCGACACGCGAAAAUAACCAAUUCGUUCGUUCGCUGAGACGAGAGCCGCGGGCUAUGUACAUCCCGUCGUCGUUCGUCGUUCGUCGCGCGAUCAUCCAUCGCGUCGCGUCGCGUCGCGUCGCAUCACGCGCGCGGCGGCUCGACGCUGUUCUCGCGCUCGAGCGGCUCGAGCGGCGCGCGGUUCUUCGCCUGCGUCGGAAUCUUCGUCGUCGUCGGCGCCCUCCCGCGGCUCCCGGCGGACGUUUUCGUUUUCGUCGGCGCAGGGGAAGACGAAACGUCAACCGCCGCGUCGCCGCCGUCGUCCGCCGCCGCGUCUUCCGCGUCGGCGGCGGCGGCCGUCUUCUUCGCCGCGCCGCGCGUCGACCGACCGCGCGUCCCUCCUCCGCGGCGCGUUGACGCGCACAUCGCCGGUUUUUGUGUUUUUUCCUCCUCCUCCUCCUCCUCCUCCUCCUCCUCCUCCGUCGUCGUCGGCGCCGGCGGCGUGACGUCUUCUUCCUCCGCCUCCGCCGUGACGUCGAGUACGUCCACCGCGCUCUCGCCCGCCGCGUCUUCGCCGCCGCCCUCCUCCUCGUCGUCGUCCUCGUCGUACGGAUGCGCGCCCGCAGCCUUCUCCCCGCCGCCCCCCCCCGCCGCCUUCGUCGCCCUGAACGCCGCGAGCGUCGCCUCUCGACGCAACGUCAUCCGCGCCAUCGUCUUCGCUUCCACGGGCGUCGUCAACGCCGCCGCGACCGUCUCCCGCGCGGGCGUGCCGCCCGUCGGGACGUCGCGCGCGAGCUUCGCGAACGCGCUCGAGAGUGUCGCCGCGAGCUCGCCGGCGUCCGCCGCGCUCCGAGUCAUGACCGCCUCGUUCUCCGGAGAGGCAGCCAACGCCUCGGCCAUCGCGUCAAUCUCCGCGACGUCGGCGUCGCGACGCGCGUCGAGCGACGCCCGCGUCGCGUUAAUCUCGGCAGCCAUGGCGUCCAGCUUCUUCCGCAGCGCCGCGGUCUCCUCGUCCUUGCGCUUCGCGAAAGCCUUCAUCGCCGCGACGUGCGUUCUCCGCCGCUCGCGUUCUCGCUCCGCGGCUUCGCUCAGGCGCUCUUCCAUCUCGAUCAAGCGCGCGGCGACGCUCUCUUUGAUCGCGGCGAUGGCCUCCUCGUUCGUCCGCUCCAAGCCCGCUUUCCUCUCGAGCUUGCCGAACAAGCCCUCGACGUCUCGCCUCGCGUGCGACAAGACGUCCGCGAGCUUCCCGGUCGCGCGACCGAGCGUCUCGUUGGCUUUUUCAAACUCCCCGAGGACGUGCUCGUGUUCUUCUCGCUCCAUCGCCGCCUCCGCGAGUUCGCUCUCGGUCGUCUGGAGCCUCGCCUCGGCGUGCGUUAACGCCUCGACCGCGUCCGUUUUUUCCGCGACCAAAGCUUUGUGCUGCAUCUUUUGCGUCUCGAACAGCGCGGUCAUCGACGCGAGCUCGCUCUUCGCGAGGCCCAAGGCGCUGAGGGCCGUUCCAUACAAAGCGAUGUCGGGGUGGAGUUCAUAGGCGUCAGGUGGAGUUGAAAGGCGUCGAGGUCGGGGAUUGAACGCGAGGGGUGGGCGGAGAGACACGCCGGGGAAAGUCCUUAAGGAACGGCGUUCACCACGCGAACGGGGUCGUAUGGGGACCAGUGUAUAGAACGCACCUCUCGAGCGUCUCCGUCCGCCGUCGCAACCCCUCGCGUUCGCUCUCGCUCGCGUCGAAGCUCUCCGGGGUCAGAUAGACGCCGUUCUUCUCGCGCGUCGCGAUCAAAUCUAAGCGCAGGCGUUCGAUCUCAUUCUGAAGGUCCUUGAUCAACCCCGUCUUCGUCAUCCGCGCGUUCACCUCCGGCUUAUUCUUGAUCGCCGCCGCUCUGCGCGCGUACUCGAGCGUGGAGACGGUCUCGUCGACGUUUUGACUGGCGGGCGAGAUGGUCGCGACGACGCACGUCUUACUCUUCCCUCCCAGCGCGUCUCGCAGUAAACGCGUCAGCUUCGAGUCUCGGUACGGGACGUGCGCGAGUCUGUCGACGAGCGCGGUGAUGACGCGGCCGAGCGUGAGCAGCGACUUGUUGAUCUCUCCCGCCUCGCGCGCCCUCGAGUCCUUCGCGCCCGACCGCGAGAUGUUCUCCGACCCGGCCAGGUCGACAAGGUUAAGCUUCCCCUGCUUGAUCAGAUCCUCCCCGUUCGCGGCGUUGUGCUCGCGCGUGUGAAUCGUCACGCUGAAGACGCUGUGCGAGCGCGACGACUGCUUGUUGCAGAGCGUCUCCGCGGUCCUUCGCUUGGCGCUGCCUCUCGCGAGGUGCUGGAAAAUCUCGGCGGGGGACCGCGCGGUGAUCUCUUCGAGGCCCUUCACGCUGACGCCGCCUUUGCCGUCCUCGAGAAGGUUGUGCCGGCGCUUCUCCGCGUUGGCAGCCUCGAGCGUGCCCUCCGCGGGCGACUCCGGGGACAAAAGGUCGGUGAUCUCCUCGUUGUACAGCUCCAGAAACGUGCACUUGACUUCAAACUCGGCGCCGCUCGCUUUGAGGUACUCGAAGACGUGCGCCAUGGCGCGCGGGAUGACGCCGGCGUCCGUCGGCAACGCGUCGGCGUCGCCGCCGUCUGCGAUGAUGAUUGAUGAUGAUUGGUCGAGGGAGGACAUGUGUCAGUCUCGCAUGCGUGUGAUUGGUGGAUUCUAUUCCCACGUGUCAAAACGUGAGGCACACGGCGCGCGUAUGGGAAGCGGUCGGUCGGCGCGGCGCGCUCACCGACGCCGACGGCGGAGAGAUCCCCUUCCAUCGUGUGCGUCUUCCCCGUCCCCGUCUGCCCGUACGCGAAGAUCGUGCAGUUGAACCCUUCCAAUACCUCCUCCACGAUGGGCGCGAUCGCGCCGUCGUACACGUCGCUCUGGCUCGCGUCCGCGCCGAAGACUGCGGGCGGGUCGUUCCGUACGAUGACGCGUCGACGACGUCGGGGCGGAGUCGAAAGGCGUCAGGCGGAUGCGUGGAUGAGUUCGUUGAAAGGCGUCGCGGCGCGUCGGGAUUGAAACCAUCGAGAGGCGGGUGGAGUGAUGCGCCCGCCGGGAGAGAGCAAAAGUCCUCAAGGACCGGCGUGCACCACGCCAACGCGGUCGUACGGGAACCAGUGUGAAUGCGAACGCGCCUCGGUCGAAGCUGUACGUCCGCUCCACCGUCUUCUUGGUCUCUUCGUGCGGCCCCUUCCCCACGGUCUGCGCGACGACGCACUGGUCGAGGCCGACGCGCGUCUUGACCACCUCGGGCAUCCGCGCGGCGAGCUCCGUCGCGUUCAUGGGGCUGCGACGCGAUGGACGCGAGGAGGGGGGGGGGGGAGAGAUGGCGAUGAGGUCGGGUGUCGUCGUUUUCGCGCAACGGAACGAAUAACGGGACGACGACGACGACGACGACGGGGGAUCGGUUCCCGUCGCGUCGCGUCGCGUCGCGUCGCGUCGCGCGCGCGCACCGGCAUCGCAGCACGACUUUGACGUUCGCUUCCGCGGCCUGGCUCGUCUGCCGCCGCGGCGGCGCCGUGGACGGGCGGUCCGCGGGUGCCAUCGCGCGUCGACGGAUGACGUCCGCGGCGCUGUUGAGAUUUCCGUUAUUUCUUUCCCCCUCCGCGCGAAGACGUACUGUAGACGUCCGAUCGAACGACCGCGCGAUAGUUUCGUUUUUCACCCACCCCGUGGUUUCAACACUUGAUCGCGUCCCCUUUCAACCGACCGAUGAACUUUUUUCGUUCGCCCCGAUGAAAUAAAUCGCGCGCAUCGAACGGCGCGUCGCGAGCGUCCGGUCGCGUCGCCGUCGACGAAGCCGCCUCCGACCACAACUCUCAUCGGCGAGGAACCGUCGUCGUCGUCGUCGUCGUCGUCGUCGUCGUCGUCGUCGUCGUCGUCGUCGCGUCGUCGAGCGGGACGACCGGAAGCGAGCGGCGGCGGGAGGCGGAGCGCAGCGCCGCGCGCGUCGGGGUUCGAUCGAUCGACCCACCCGACCCGUCCAUCGCUCCUCCUCUUCCUUUGAACGACCGAGCGCGAUAUCGCGCGAGCGGACGUCGCCAUGGAGGAGUGGGCGCAGCGCGCGGAGGGCUCGGGGGGCGUCGGGAACCUCGCGAGGAAGGUGGUCAAGCCCGCGAGCGCGGGGAGGAAGCUCACGAUCAAGCCGUUCAAAGGUGCGAGCGCGCGCGCGAGCGUCGUCGUCCCCGUCGGUCAGAUCGCGCGACGGGCGCGCCGCGCGCGUCUUUCCCUCCCUCCCUCCCAACGUCAUCGUCCCGCCGUUGGGUCCCCGCUCCCUCCUCACCGCCGUUCCCCCGCGCCCGCCGCCGCCGCAGAGAAACCCAAGCUCCCGGCGGACUUCGAGGCCAAGGCGUGGGACGCGCUCAGCGGCGCGAUCGACGCGAUACACGCCAAGGCGCGUCCUCGGAGCAUCAUCACACAUAUUUACACUGGUCCCCAUACGACCGCGUUCGCGUCGUGAACUUCAUUCCUUGAGGACUUUCUCAUCUCCCGGCGUUCGUCUCUCUCCGCCGCCCGCCCACCCCACGGUGGUUUCAAUCCCCGACCCUAUGACGCCUUUCGACUCCACCACUGACGCCUUUCAACUACUCCAACCCUUUCGACCCCCGCCGGACCCGCAGCGCGCCGUCGCCGCGUCGUUCGAGGAACUCUACCGCCGCGUCGAGGACGCGUGCUCGCACAAGCUCGCCGAUUCGCUCUAUCAAAAGCUCCGCGCCGCGAUGAAAGCGCGCGCGAUCGCGCAGUUGAAAGCGCUGCGAUCGCGGUCGUGCCCGGACCCGAUCGCGUUCCUCUCGCGCGUGGACGAGUGCUGGAGCGAUCACUGCGCUUCGACGCUCACGACGCGGUCUAUAUUUUUGUACCUGGACCGAGCGUACUGCGCGAAGACGCCCGGGGUGAAGGGCGUGUGGGACCUCGGGCUGAUGCUGUUUCGCGCGUCGCUCGUCGGCGGCGACGAAGAGGGCGGUGGGGGUGGGGGUGUUGGUAACGCUUCGAAUUCAGGCGUUACCGUUGUCGAAGAGGACGUCGGCGAGAUCGUGCGGAAGACGACCAGGGGGUUGCUGGCGUCGAUACAGAGAGAACGCGACGGCGAAGCGGUGGACCGCGCGCGGAUCAAACGACUCACCGCCGCGCUCGUCAACCUCGGGCUCUACGCCGACCACUUCGAGCGCGCGUUCCUGGACCACUCCGCGGCGUACUACCGCGCCGAGGGCACGCGCGCGGCGCAAAGCUCCGACGCCGCGGGUUUUUUGACGCACUGCGAGGCGCGACUGGCGGAGGAGGAGGACAGGGCGUCGACGUAUUUGGACGCGUCGACGCGACGGACGCUGACGCGGUGCGUCGAGCAGAACCUCGUCGAGACGCACGUCAUCGGCGUGUUAGACAAAGGCUUCGACGCGCUCUGCGCGGAGAACAGGAUCGAGGACUUGCGGCGGCUCCACGCGCUGUGCGCGCGCGUGGACAAGGUGGACAAGCUGCGCGACGCGUUCGCGGCGAGGGCGAAGCGCGUCGGCGCGGCGAUCGUGCAGGACGAAGAGAACGAUAAGGACAUGGUGCAGAAUUUGCUCGACGUGAAGGAGUCGUUGGAGCGGAUCGUGUCCGACGCGUUUGGCGGCAGCCUCGAGCUCUUCUCGAACGCGCUCAAGGAGGCGUUCGAGUCGUUCGUGAACUCGCGUCGGAACCGACCCGCGGAGCUCAUCGCUAAGUACGUAGACGGUAAGCUUCGCGCGGGUUCCAAGUCUGGGUACGUCGACGAGGAAGAGAUGGAGCGCACCCUAGACGCGGUGCUCACGUUGUUCAGGUGCGUUCUAUACAAACGUUUUUCACCCUUCGCCCGGUUUCAACAUUUGAUCGCGUCCCCUUUCAACUGACCGGUGAACUUGUUUUGUACGGAAUCGCCCUCAGGCACAUCCAAGGCAAGGACGUGUUCGAGGCGUUCUACAAGAAGGACCUCGCGAAGCGUCUUCUGCUCUCGAAGAGCGCCUCCGUGGACGCGGAGAAGAGCAUGAUCAGCCGUCUGAAGGCGGAGUGCGGGUCGCAGUUCACGACGAAGCUCGAGGGGAUGUUCAAAGACGUGGAGACGUCGCGAGACAUCAUGCGCGGGUUCGCGGCGGAUGAAAAGAUCGCGAAAGAACUCCCCGAAAACGUCGACGUGUUCGUCCACGUCCUCACCGCGGGGUACUGGCCGACGUACGCCCCGUGCGAGGUGAAGCUCCCGCGCGAGCUCGACCACCUCCAGCGCGUGUUCAGCGAGUAUUACCUCAGCAAGCACGGCGGGCGCAGGUUGGUGUGGCAAAAUGCGCUCGGGCACGUCUUGCUUCGCGCGGAGUUUCCAAAGUGCGGCGUUAAAGAGCUCGCGGUGUCGCUGUUUCAGGCGGUGGUUCUCAUGCUCUUCAACGACGCGGAGACGAUGUCGUUCGAGGAGCUUAAGGACGCGACCGGGAUCGAAGACAAGGAGCUGCGGCGGACGUUGCAAUCGCUCGCGUGCGGGAAAGCGAACCAACGCGUGCUGAGCAAAACCCCGAAGGGCAAGGAUGUCGACGACGGAGACGUCUUCGCCGUCAACGACGACUUCAACGAGCGGCUGACGAGGAUAAAGGUGAACUCGAUACAGAUGAAGGAGACGAAGGAGGACAACGACGCGACGAACGAGCGCGUGUUCCAGGACCGGCAGUAUCAGAUCGACGCGGCCAUCGUGCGCGUGAUGAAGACGAGGAAGACGUUGUCGCAUCAGGCGCGUUCUGGUUACACUGGUCCCCAUACGACCGCGUCGGCGUGGUGAACGCCGAUCCUUAAAGACUUUCUCUCCCGGCGAUUCUCUCCGCCCAGGGUCCCUCGCUUUCAAUCCCCGCCCUCGACGCCUUUCAACUCCACCUGACGCCUUUCAACUCCACCCCGACGUUCGCUCGUACGGAACGACCAUCAGCUGCUCGUCGGCGAACUCUUCAACCAGAUCAAGUUCCCGGCCAAGCCGGCGGAUCUGAAGAAACGGAUCGAGUCGCUCAUCGACCGAGAGUACUUGGAGCGCGACCGCGGGAACGCGCAGGUGUACAACUACCUCGCGUGAGCGAGCGAGCGCGGGCGGGCGGGCGGCGCGCGAGUUGGAGCGGAGCGCUCUUCUUCUUUCUUUUCGUAUAAGAUAGUCUAUGAGAUAGUAGGCCCGCUGUGACCGUCGGGAACAACAGACGGACGCGUCCGAGAGAGAGAGCGCGCGCGCCGCGCGACGACAGACGGAUAGAUGGAUGGAUAGAUGGAUCUUACUUCUCGCUUAAUUCUCCCUCAGUUCGCGCCGCCGGUGACCGUGAACGUCGCCCGCGGCGGCGAAAGCGCUUGGGCGCCGUUCGGACCCCGCCCCGGCGAUCGCAUCGCCGCCGCCGCCGCGCCCGUCGGCGCCCCUCCUCCCCUCCAAUUAUUUCCAUUAUAAUUUCCAUUUCCUCCUCCGACCCACCGCAUCCCGUCCGCGUCCGCGUCGGGCAGACCCAUCGCGACGAACCAUCCGGACAUGAACGUGAUCCCCGUCGUCGCGAUCGAGAUGGCGUUCAGGAGCACCUCCAUCUCCAGUAUGUACGUCUGCUGGACCAUGUAGUACACGUGCAUGUAAAUAACGAUCGGCGUGAUCAAGAGGCUUCGGUACACGAGCUUCUUGCUCAGCGCGGCGUUGCCCUGCCCCAUCAGCGUCAGCCGCAGCCACUCCACGACGAUGUACAUAAACAGGUACGAGAACUCCAGGCCCCAGUAGUUGUGUCCGACGUUUGGGUACGGCAACGCGUUGCCCUUGUAGAUCAUGAUGAGCGCGGCGGUCCAAAAGUAGACGACGUCCCACAUAGCGGCGAAGUAGAGGUACUGAGGUGUCGUCGUUUGAUUGGUGGGCGACGUGGCGGGAAGUUAUGUGAUUGGUUAGUUAUUUGAUGACGUGGAUGUUCGACGUUUCAUUGGACGACAGAGAGCGACGGAGAGAGAGAGACGCCGGGAGAGAAAGUCAAGUCCUUCUUAAGGAUCGGCGCGCGCCGCGCCGACGCGGUCGUAUGGGGAUCAGUCUGGUGUGAGAUGGGACGCGCCUGCGCGAGCGACACGGACGUGAUGAGCGGUCGCUUGUUCAGCCGCGCGUAGGCGGCGUCCCCCAUCGCGCUCGAGCGCGCUUCCGCGGCGGCGCGGCGGUUGAACAGCGCGCCUAGGGUCGUUCCAUACGAAGCGAUGGCGGGGUGAGGUUCAAAGGCGUCAGUUGAAGUUGAAAGGCGUCGAGGUGUGUCGGGAUUGAAAGCGUGGUGUGGGCGGAGAGAUGCGCCGGGAUAAGUCCUUAAGGAACGGCGUUCACCACGCGAACGCGGUCGUAUGGGGACCAGUGUGAAGAGAACGCGCCUACGAACCCCCGCGGCGUUCGCGGCGAGUCGGCGCCCGCCGCGGACGUCCCGCCGGCUUCGCUCCCGCCGCCGCCGUCGUUCGACGCGGACGGCGGCGCGCGGGCGCCGCCAAAGCCGAACCUGAACCUCGACCCGCCGCCGCUGCUUCCCGCGUGCGACAACGCCGGGAUGUCGUGCCCGGUGAGUUUGAACACGGGCGCGGGGCCGCCCGCGUUGUUUUCCGUUCGCGUCGUAGUAGCCGGAGCAUCGUUACCAAGCCCUCUCGCGUCGGCUCCCGCUCUUCGCGGGCCGCGGACCGCGACGUCGCCGUAGCCGGUGUUCCCGCCGAAGCGUCGCGAUCGCGCGGCCGCGUCCGCGUUCUGCGUCGACGCCUGCGCCUGCGCCGCCGCGCGCGGAUCGUUCGCGUUCGCGUUCGCGUUCGCGUCGUAGUCGCGCUCGUCGCGGCGGACGCCGAAGCGGAACCCGCCGCGCGGACCGCCUCCGAAGCCUCCUCCGGCGCCGCCGCCGCCGAAGCCGGCGGUACGCGGCGGCGACGACGGCUGCUGCGGCCCCCCGACGUUGAAGCGGUUCACCUCCGCGGGGCGAGAUCCCGCGGGCGCGAACGGCGCGGGCGCGUUUCUGUUUCGAUUCGCCCCGAACGUCGACAUCGAACGACGACGACGACGACGACGACGCGACGGCGGCGGCGACGCGCUUAAGACGCGAUGGGUUUAGGGCGCGUCUUCUUUCGACGCGAUGGAUGCGCGUGCGCGUUCGUUGCGUCCGCGAGAGGAGGAGGAGGAGGACGACGACGACGACGACGGCGGCGCGCGCGUGCGAUGUGCGCGUCCGUCCGUUGACGACGAACGAAAAAAAGUUCGUUCGAAGGCAACAACGAACCGAUCGAUUCGCGACGAGACCCCAACGGCUCUGCCGAGGGUGCGAUCUGAUCGACGCCGGUCGAUCGGUCGCCGCGGUGAAAUUGAGCCCGGCGGGAGGGUCGGGCUCGAUUUUUCACCGACCAACCUUUCACGCGCGGUUUCAAUAAUUUCGCGACUGAUGACUCUAAAACCGACGACCGCCGAUCGCGCUCGGCGCGAGCGUCGCGUCGAUGAGAUGAGACUUGCUGAGAUUUCGCUCCUCGUCAGUCCCGCUCGCGCGACUUCGCCGCCGCACGAUGUCCGGAUGGGACGAGGGCAACGUGUACUUCACGGACAGCGGCCUCGCGGGCGACGGCGACGCGCCGGGCGGCGGCGGCGGCGGAGACGCGCUCGGAGUCACCCCCGGGCAGGCGAGGCGGAAGUUUGCCGACUUUUUUCGAAACUUCAGGGGCGAGCCCACGGCGGACUACCCGGACGGGCGGCUGACGUAUCGCGACGCGCUGGAUCAGGCGAUGCCGCCGCAGGAGCUCACGGUGCUCAUGGACGACGUCAUAGGUGCGCGCGACGCGUUUCGGUUUCGUCGCGGGGAGUCGGUGUCUCGUGUCUCGUGAAAGCGCGACGAUCGGACGGCGUCCCCGAUCGAUCGAUCGAUCGAUGCGUCGGACCGCGUACGACGCGCAACGAUCGCAAACUUUCUCCCGUGCGUGGUGUCUCUCUCUCCGCUCUCUCCUCCGCGCGCGUUCUGUUCUGGUCGGCUGACCCGCCUCGCGCGCCUCCCUCCCACUUCCCCCUCCCGCUUCUCUUCUCGCAGCGCACGACCCCGAGCUCGCGAAGGAACUCCGCGCGCGCCCGGACACGUACGUCCCCGUCCUCGAGGCUGCAGGUGCGUUCUGGUUACACUGGUCCCCAUACGACCGCGUUCGCGUGGUGGACGCCGAUCCUUAAGGACUUUGCCCGGCGCAUCGCUCCGCCCAGGGUCCAUCGCUUUCAAUCCCGACACACCUCGACGCCUUUCAACUCCGCUUCUGACGCCUUUGAACUCCACCCCGACGUUCGCCGCAGCCGUGGAUGUCGUGGAGUCGCUCCGCAACGAGUCCGCGAUCAAUCCGCAAAACGAUCCCAACUCCACCGCCGUGGUCGCCGGCGUCGGCGGCGCGGCGGCGCACUUCGCGGAUCACGUCGAGAUCCAGGUGCACCUCCUGAGUCACGAGAACCCGCGGCCGCUGCGGUCGCUGAGCAGCAAGGACGUCUCGAAGAUGGUGUACGUUCCGGGCAUCGUGAUCACGACUUCGAGGGCGAAAUCGAAAGCAACGCGGCUGUGCAUUCAGUGUAAGACGUGCCGGAACACGAAGCACAUCGCGUUGGGGGGCGGGUACGCCGGCACGGUGGUCCCGCGGUUCUGCGACGGCGCGGGCGGCGGCGGCGGCGGCGCGGGCGGCGGCGGCGGCGACGGCGCGAUCGGCGACGGCGGAGGCUGCGGGAUCGACCCUUUCAUCGUCCUGCCGGAUAAGUCGAAGUUCAUGGACCAACAGACGAUGAAACUGCAGGCGCGUCCCAUCUAUCUCAACGUUCGACCCUAUGACGCCUUUCGACUCCACCCCUGACGCCUUUCAACGCAUUUCAACGACCCGCAGGAGAACCCGGAGGACGUCCCCGCCGGGGAGAUGCCGCGGCACCUCCUCAUCGUCGUCGAGCGCAACCUCGUGCAGUCGAUAACCCCGGGCACGAGGGUGAAGGUCAUGGGGACGUACUCGUUGGGGCCGUCGGGGGGCAAGGGC
rnacentral:lncRNA from 1 species